GACGAACGCUGGCGGCGUGCUUAACACAUGCAAGUCGAACGGUGAACCUCUUCGGAGGGGAUCAGUGGCGAACGGGUGAGUAACACGUGGGCAACCUGCCCCCGGCUCUGGGAUAACUCCAAGAAAUUGGGGCUAAUACCGGAUGUUCACCGCUUCCCGCAUGGGUGGUGGUGCAAAGGGUUUCCGGCUGGGGAUGGGCCCGCGGCCUAUCAGCUUGUUGGUGGGGUAGUGGCCUACCAAGGCGACGACGGGUAGCCGGCCUGAGAGGGUGACCGGCCACACUGGGACUGAGACACGGCCCAGACUCCUACGGGAGGCAGCAGUGGGGAAUAUUGCGCAAUGGGCGGAAGCCGGACGCAGCGACGCCGCGUGGGGGAUGACGGCCUUCGGGUUGUAAACCUCUUUCAGCAGGGACGAAGCGCAAGUGACGGUACCUGCAGAAGAAGCACCGGCCAACUACGUG
rnacentral:rRNA from 1 species